GUGCUUGCUUCGGCAGUACAUAGAGUAAAAAAAUUGGAACAAUACAGAAAAGAUUAGCAUGGCCCCUGUGUGAGGAUGACAUACACAUUUGUGAAGCAUUCCAUAUAAAA